CUAUAGCUUGACACUGAACAUUGAGCCUUGAUGUGUAGGAUAGGUGGGAGGCUUUGAAGUGUGGACGCCAGUCUGCAUGGAGCCGACCUUGAAAUACCACCCUUUAAUGUUUGAUGUUCUAACGUUGACCCGUAAUCCGGGUUGCGGACAGUGUCUGGUGGGUAGUUUGACUGGGGCGGUCUCCUCCUAAAGAGUAACGGAGGAGCACGAAGGUUGGCUAAUCCUGGUCGGACAUCAGGAGGUUAGUGCAAUGGCAUAAGCCAGCUUGACUGCGAGCGUGACGGCGCGAGCAGGUGCGAAAGCAGGUCAUAGUGAUCCGGUGGUUCUGAAUGGAAGGGCCAUCGCUCAACGGAUAAAAGGUACUCCGGGGAUAACAGGCUGAUACCGCCCAAGAGUUCAUAUCGACGGCGGUGUUUGGCACCUCGAUGUCGGCUCAUCACAUCCUGGGGCUGAAGUAGGUCCCAAGGGUAUGGCUGUUCGCCAUUUAAAGUGGUACGCGAGCUGGGUUUAGAACGUCGUGAGACAGUUCGGUCCCUAUCUGCCGUGGGCGCUGGAGAACUGAGGGGGGCUGCUCCUAGUACGAGAGGACCGGAGUGGACGCAUCACUGGUGUUCGGGUUGUCAUGCCAAUGGCACUGCCCGGUAGCUAAAUGCGGAAGAGAUAAGUGCUGAAAGCAUCUAAGCACGAAACUUGCC
rnacentral:rRNA from 1 species